CCUACGGGUGGCAGCAGUGGGGGAUAUUGCACAAUGGGGGGAACCCUGAUGCAGCGACGCCGCGUGAGGGAAGACGGCCUUCGGGUUGUAAACCUCUGUCGCAGGGGACGAAGAAAAUGACAGUACCUGACUAAGAAGCCCCGGCUAACUACGUGCCAGCAGCCGCGGUAAUACGUAGGGGGCAAGCGUUAUCCGGAUUUACUGGGUGUAAAGGGAGCGUAGACGGCUGCGCAAGUCAGAAGUGAAAGCCCGGGGCUCAACCGCGGGACUGCUUUUGAAACUGUGUAGCUAGAGUGCAGGAGAGGUAAGUGGAAUUCCUAGUGUAGCGGUGAAAUGCGUAGAUAUUAGGAGGAACACCGGUGGCGAAGGCGGCUUACUGGACUGUAACUGACGUUGAGGCUCGAAAGCGUGGGGAGCAAACAGGAUUAGAUACCCGAGUAGUC
rnacentral:rRNA from 1 species